rnacentral:rRNA from 1 species
AGAGUUUGAUCAUGGCUCAGGACGAACGCUGGCGGCGUGCCUAAUACAUGCAAGUAGAACGCUGAAGGAGGAGCUUGCUUCUCUGGAUGAGUUGCGAACGGGUGAGUAACGCGUAGGUAACCUGCCUGGUAGCGGGGGAUAACUAUUGGAAACGAUAGCUAAUACCGCAUAAGAGUAGAUGUUGCAUGACAUUUGCUUAAAAGGUGCAAUUGCAUCACUACCAGAUGGACCUGCGUUGUAUUAGCUAGUUGGUGGGGUAACGGCUCACCAAGGCGACGAUACAUAGCCGACCUGAGAGGGUGAUCGGCCACACUGGGACUGAGACACGGCCCAGACUCCUACGGGAGGCAGCAGUAGGGAAUCUUCGGCAAUGGACGGAAGUCUGACCGAGCAACGCCGCGUGAGUGAAGAAGGUUUUCGGAUCGUAAAGCUCUGUUGUAAGAGAAGAACGAGUGUGAGAGUGGAAAGUUCACACUGUGACGGUAUCUUACCAGAAAGGGACGGCUAACUACGUGCCAGCCGCCGCGGUAAUUC